UACGGAGGGUGCAAACGUUGCUCGGAAUUAUUGGGCGUAAAGCGCACGUAGGCGGCCAGACAAGUCGGGUGUGAAAUCCCUCGGCUUAACCGAGGAAGUGCAUUCGAAACUAUCUGGCUUGAAUACUGAAGAGGGUCUCGGAAUUCCCGGUGUAGAGGUGAAAUUCGUAGAUAUCGGGAGGAACACCAGUGGCGAAGGCGGAGACCUGGGCAGAUAUUGACGCUGAGGUGCGAAAGCGUGGGGAGCAAACAGG
rnacentral:rRNA from 1 species